rnacentral:rRNA from 3 species
UACGUAGGUGGCAAGCGUUGUCCGGAUUUAUUGGGCGUAAAGCGAGCGCAGGCGGUUUCUUAAGUCUGAUGUGAAAGCCUUCGGCUCAACCGAAGAAGUGCAUCGGAAACUGGGAAACUUGAGUGCAGAAGAGGACAGUGGAACUCCAUGUGUAGCGGUGAAAUGCGUAGAUAUAUGGAAGAACACCAGUGGCGAAGGCGGCUGUCUGGUCUGUAACUGACGCUGAGGCUCGAAAGCAUGGGUAGCAAACAGG